AGUGAACGCUGGCGGUAGGCCUAACACAUGCAAGUCGAACGGCAGCACAGUAAGAGCUUGCUCUUACGGGUGGCGAGUGGCGGACGGGUGAGGAAUACAUCGGAAUCUACUUUUUCGUGGGGGAUAACGUAGGGAAACUUACGCUAAUACCGCAUACGACCUACGGGUGAAAGCAGGGGAUCUUCGGACCUUGCGCAAUUGAAUGAGCCGAUGUCGGAUUAGCUAGUUGGCGGGGUAAGGGCCCACCAAGGCGACGAUCCGUAGCUGGUCUGAGAGGAUGAUCAGCCACACUGGAACUGAGACACGGUCCAGACUCCUACGGGAGGCAGCAGUGGGGAAUAUUGGACAAUGGGCGCAAGCCUGAUCCAGCCAUACCGCGUGGGUGAAGAAGGCCUUCGGGUUGUAAAGCCCUUUUGUUGGGAAAGAAAAGCAGCAGGUUAAUACCCCGCUGUUCUGACGGUACCCAAAGAAUAAGCACCGGCUAACUUCGUG
rnacentral:rRNA from 1 species